UACAGAGGGGGCAAGCGUUAUUCGGAAUUAUUGGGCGUAAAGGGCGCGUAGGCGGCUUGGCAAGUGGAUGGUGAAAUCCCUCGGCUUAACCGAGGAACUGCCGUCCAAACUGCUUUGCUUGAGGCCGGGAGAGGUGAGUGGAAUUCCCAGUGUAGCGGUGAAAUGCGUAGAUAUUGGGAGGAGCACCAGUGGCGAAGGCGGCUCACUGGACCGGUACUGACGCUGAUGCGCGAGAGCGUGGGGAGCAAACGGG
rnacentral:rRNA from 1 species